CAACCUAGGAAGUCCGGCAAGGGCUCAUUUUUUAAGUUGCGUUACAAGCCGUUCACACAUUGGCAAAAAAAGUCGAAUAUUACAUGAAAAUUGUUACAUAUUGCACCUUUAACAAACUAUUCCAAACAAGGAUGCCUAAAGAUUCCGCCCUCUAAAGACCAAUCAAAUGCGCCGCUGCGAAACACGUGACCCAACGCGGAAAAAGCUUGAGAGUGGCUCAUCCCGCUCUUCUCGCGCACUUCUGUGUUCUUCAUCCAGAAACAUCAACAGUCUCUCAACAUGGCGAGUAACAGCACAGGCUAAGAGCGGGGCUAGCGUCUUUCCCCUUUACUCCUUCUGUUAAAGCCUGAGGAAUAGUAUGCAGCAGCUCUCGAACAUUUCUCAAAACGAGUUUGAAUAAUGGAAACGCGAGGGAUUGAUCAGAUGUUCGACUUCCAGCGGUUACCAAGUGAUGGCUUCAUCUUGCUGCUGUUGUUGCUGUACGCCCCUGUCGGCCUGUGUUUGAUGCUAUUACGAAUAUUUAUUGGUGUCCACGUGUUCCUAGUGAGUUGUGCACUCCCUGACAGUGUUGUAAGAAGGUUCAUAGUGAGAAUUAUGUGCUCCGUGCUGGGCCUUCACGUCAGGCAGAACAGCCUGCGCUUACGGGACAAAAGCACCCGACUGUACAUCUGCAAUCACGUUACACACUUCGACCACAAUAUUAUUAACCUCCUGACCUCCUGUAACACGCCUCUGCUGGAGGGCCCCGCUGGGUUCUUGUGCUGGGCGAGGGGUUAUAUGGAGCUGGGUCAGGAUGUAGGGAGCAGGUCAGAGCUGACAGAGAUCCUCCGCAGGUACUGCUCGUCUCCCGGUGCUUUACCCCUCCUGCUCUUUCCAGAGGAGGAUACCACCAACGGUCGUGCUGGCCUCCUCAAGUUCAGCUCUUGGACUUUCUCAGUGUCUGACUCCAUCCAGCCUGUGGCAUUGCUGGUCAAGAGGCCUUUCAUAGCUGUGAAUACACCAGAGUCUUCAUGGCUGGCAGAACUGUUGUGGGCCUUUUUUGUACCAUUCACAGUGUACCAUGUAAGAUGGCUUCCUCCGAUAUCUAGAGAAGAUGGUGAAACUCAUCAAGAAUUUGCCAGCAAAGUCCAGGAGCUUCUGGCGACUGAGCUGGGUGUGAUCUCCACACAGAUCACUAAAGCAGAUAAAGCAGAACACAUCAAAAGAAAUAGACACACUGUCCCUCAGACUGCACACUCAAGUAAGCACGGAUUUUAUGAUUUGGGUGCCAGACCUCGUACAGUGGCACAGAGUUUCCUGGGCUCAAGUACAGGGGCUGAAGACUCGCGUGUAGUGCGUAUGGCGCAGCAGGUGAAGGAAGUGCUGCCUGAUGUCCCCCUCUCUGUCAUCACCAGAGAUUUGUUGCAAACAAACUGUGUUGAUACAACCAUAACCAACCUGCUGGAGCGCAAUGACCAGUUCCACUUGGAGGCUUCUGUGGGCACAGCAUCAGGUCCAGCCAAACCAGCAGCUUCCUCCACCCCAUCUGCUACAGCAUCCUCACCUGAUCUAAAGCUACAGGUGCCCCUCUCAUCACUGCAUUCAAAGAUGCAGAAGCAACUGCCAAAUCUUUUGAGAAAACACCAGUAGACAGACACAUGUCCCUACAGGAGAGAAAAGACGCCUUGUAUGAAUAUGCAAGAAGACGAUAUAUUGAAAAAGGACUGAACAAAGAGGACGGUCUAUGACUGCGGACAAAGACACACCUGAAGAAUUGUUUAGGAAAGACGGCUGCUUAACACAAAAAGAAGAAAUAACAUUGACACAGAAUGAAACGACAUGUGUUCACCAAACUUGAUGAGAGAAGACUGAUUUCUGUCAGACUGGAUAUUUUGCCUUUUUGUGUUGUUUUUUUUUUUUUUUUUUUUUUUAAUUCUCUUGCAUGGCAGUCAUGCAUGUCUUUUUAUCAUUUCUCUCUGCAACAGAAAAUAAUUAUUUUGGUAAACAGUUUCUAUUCAGACUCGGUGACCUUGGCACACUUCAUAUUAUUUUUAUAAGGUCCAGACCAGGGGUAGAGAAUAGGGGUUCAUAGAAACAAAACACAUCUUGAGGUUCAUUGUUGUUAAGAAUUUGUGUUGAUGCAAUAUCAGCUUUUAAAGACAU